rnacentral:rRNA from 1 species
GACGAACGCUGGCGGCGUGCUUAACACAUGCAAGUCGAACGGAAAGGCCCUUCGGGGUACUCGAGUGGCGAACGGGUGAGUAACACGUGGGUGAUCUGCCUGCACUUUGGGAUAAGCCUGGGAAACUGGGUCUAAUACCGAAUAGGACCACGCGCUUCAUGGUGUGUGGUGGAAAGCUUUUGCGGUGUGGGAUGGGCCCGCGGCCUAUCAGCUUGUUGGUGGGGUAAUGGCCUACCAAGGCGACGACGGGUAGCCGGCCUGAGAGGGUGACCGGCCACACUGGGACUGAGAUACGGCCCAGACUCCUACGGGAGGCAGCAGUGGGGAAUAUUGCACAAUGGGCGCAAGCCUGAUGCAGCGACGCCGCGUGAGGGAUGACGGCCUUCGGGUUGUAAACCUCUUUCAAUAGGGACGAAGCGCAAGUGACGGUACCUAUAGAAGAAGCACCGGCCAACUACGUGCCAGCAGCCGCGGUAAUACGUAGGGUGCGAGCGUUGUCCGGAAUUACUGGGCGUAAAGAGCUCGUAGGUGGUUUGUCGCGUUGUUCGUGAAAACUCACAGCUUAACUGUGGGCGUGCGGGCGAUACGGGCAGACUAGAGUACUGCAGGGGAGACUGGAAUUCCUGGUGUAGCGGUGGAAUGCGCAGAUAUCAGGAGGAACACCGGUGGCGAAGGCGGGUCUCUGGGCAGUAACUGACGCUGAGGAGCGAAAGCGUGGGGAGCGAACAGGAUUAGAUACCCUGGUAGUCCACGCCGUAAACGGUGGGUACUAGGUGUGGGUUCCUUCCUUGGGAUCCGUGCCGUAGCUAACGCAUUAAGUACCCCGCCUGGGGAGUACGGCCGCAAGGCUAAAACUCAAAGGAAUUGACGGGGGCCCGCACAAGCGGCGGAGCAUGUGGAUUAAUUCGAUGCAACGCGAAGAACCUUACCUGGGUUUGACAUGCACAGGACGCCGGCAGAGAUGUCGGUUCCCUUGUGGCCUGUGUGCAGGUGGUGCAUGGCUGUCGUCAGCUCGUGUCGUGAGAUGUUGGGUUAAGUCCCGCAACGAGCGCAACCCUUGUCCUAUGUUGCCAGCGGGUUAUGCCGGGGACUCGUAGGAGACUGCCGGGGUCAACUCGGAGGAAGGUGGGGAUGACGUCAAGUCAUCAUGCCCCUUAUGUCCAGGGCUUCACACAUGCUACAAUGGCCGGUACAAAGGGCUGCGAUGCCGUGAGGUGGAGCGAAUCCUUUCAAAGCCGGUCUCAGUUCGGAUCGGGGUCUGCAACUCGACCCCGUGAAGUCGGAGUCGCUAGUAAUCGCAGAUCAGCAACGCUGCGGUGAAUACGUUCCCGGGCCU